rnacentral:rRNA from 1 species
UACGUAGGGUGCGAGCGUUAAUCGGAAUUACUGGGCGUAAAGGGUGCGCAGGCGGCCUUGUAAGUCAGAUGUGAAAGCCCCGGGCUUAACCUGGGAAUUGCGUUUGAAACUACAAAGCUAGAGUGCAACAGAGGGGAGUGGAAUUCCAUGUGUAGCAGUGAAAUGCGUAGAGAUGUGGAAGAACACCGAUGGCGAAGGCAGCUCCCUGGGUUGACACUGACGCUCAUGCACGAAAGCGUGGGGAGCAAACAGGAUUAGAUACCCUGGUAGUCCACGCCCUAAACUAUGUCAACUAGUUGUCGGAUCUAAUUAAGGAUUUGGUAACGUAGCUAACGCGUGAAGUUGACCGCCUGGGGAGUACGAUCGCAAGAUUAAA